rnacentral:lncRNA from 1 species
GAGGCUUAAAGAAAUGAGGUUCAUGUGGAAUCGCCAUCUGCAAACAAGAAACAAAUGUAAAUAAUAUCAACAAUGAGUUUCCAAGCAGACGAAAACCCCAAUUCCAUUUUGAACCCAAAAUCUAUUUGAUCCCCACAAUCGAAACCAUAAAUCGAUUAUGAACUCACACCAGAACCUCUCUAAUCCAGUCGCGUUUCUUAUUAAAAAAAAACAUAAUUUUGAUAUCACGAACCAAAACCAUAAAUCGAUUGUGAAGUCACACGAGAACCUCUCUAAUCCAGUCGAUAACAACAAAGAACCGAUGUGAAAAUGCAAAAAAAAAAUCAAACCAAUACGAAAACCCUAAAUCGAAAAAAUCCUCAAUCCGAUUUCAAACCCUAGAUUUUAUAAAACACCUCAAUCGAAUCCUAAAACGUGAUGAAAUCAACAUGCAUAAACUCGAGAAUGAAAAAAGAAAAUAGAUUAAGAUCGAAUUUUACCUUCACGGGUCG